UUUAGUCAUGGCUCAGGAUGAACGCUAGCGGCAGGCUUAACACAUGCAAGUCGAGGGGUAACAGGGAUUGCUUGCAAUCCGCUGACGACCGGCGCACGGGUGCGUAACGCGUAUACAAUCUGCCUUGUACUGAGGGAUAGCCUUUGGAAACGAAGAUUAAUACCUCAUGGUAUAUAGAAUUGGCAUCAAUUUUAUAUUAAAGGUUACGGUACAAGAUGAGUAUGCGUCCUAUUAGCUAGAUGGUGUGGUAACGGCAUACCAUGGCAACGAUAGGUAGGGGCCCUGAGAGGGGGAUCCCCCACACUGGUACUGAGACACGGACCAGACUCCUACGGGAGGCAGCAGUGAGGAAUAUUGGGCAAUGGAGGCAACUCUGACCCAGCCAUGCCGCGUGCAGGAAGACUGCCCUAUGGGUUGUAAACUGCUUUUAUACAGGAAGAAACAGCUCUACGUGUAGAGCCUUGACGGUACUGUAAGA
rnacentral:rRNA from 1 species